UAGGUCUUGUAGAGGAGAAACAGGCGCUUCUUUUGCGCUAGGUAUCGAAGGGCGCUAUGUUCAAAAAUCUGAAACUAGAGCUCAAAAUUUGAAAAAAAUGUCAAAAAAUUAGGGGGUCGGCCUAUUCUAGGACUUCUAGAGAAAAAUAAUGAGGGGUGUCACGGGGAAUGACUAUAUAGGUCUUGUAGAGGAGAAACAGGCGCUUCUUUUGCGCUAGGUAUCGAAGGGCGCUAUGUUCAAAAAUCUGAAACUAGAGCUCAAAAUUUGAAAAAAAUGUCAAAAAAAUUAGGGGGGUCGGCCUAUUCUAGGACUUCUAGAGAAAAAUAAUGAGGGGUGUCACGGGGUAUGACUAUAUAGGUCUUGUAGAGGAGAAACAGGCGCUUCUUUUGCGCUAGGUAUCGAAGGGCGCUAUGUUCAAAAAUCUGAAACUAGAGCUCAAAAUUUGAAAAAAAUGUCAAAAAAUUAGGGGGGGUCGGCCUAUUCCAGGACUUCUAGAGAAAAAUAAUGAGGGGUGUCACGGGGUAUGACUAUAUAGGUCUUGUAGAGGAGAAACAGGCGCUUCUUUUGCGCUAGGUAUCGAAGGGCGCUAUGUUCAAAAAUCUGAAACUAGAGCUCAAAAUUUGAAAAAAAUGUCAAAAAAUUAGGGGG
rnacentral:lncRNA from 1 species